GAUGAACGCUGGCGGCGUGCCUAAUACAUGCAAGUCGAGCGAACAGACGAGGAGCUUGCUCCUCUGACGUUAGCGGCGGACGGGUGAGUAACACGUGGAUAACCUACCUAUAAGACUGGGAUAACUUCGGGAAACCGGAGCUAAUACCGGAUAAUAUAUUGAACCGCAUGGUUCAAUAGUGAAAGACGGUUUUGCUGUCACUUAUAGAUGGAUCCGCGCCGCAUUAGCUAGUUGGUAAGGUAACGGCUUACCAAGGCAACGAUGCGUAGCCGACCUGAGAGGGUGAGCGGCCACACUGGAACUGAGACACGGUCCAGACGCCUACGGGAGGCAGCAGUAGGGAAUCUGCCGCAAUGGGCGAAAGCCUGACGGAGCAACGCCGCGUGAGUGAUGAAGGUCUUCGGAUCGUAAAACUCUGUUAUUAGGGAAGAACAAAUGUGUAAGUAACUAUGCACGUCUUGACGGUACCUAAUCAGAAAGCCACGGCUAACUACGUG
rnacentral:rRNA from 1 species